rnacentral:ribozyme from 1 species
GCUGCUCGAAACUUUGCACACCUCUUCGUGGUGAGCGGCAGGCAACACAGUGAUGUGGCUAAGAAUGCAAAG